rnacentral:rRNA from 1 species
AGUGAACGCUGGCGGUAGGCCUAACACAUGCAAGUCGAACGGCAGCACAGUAAGAGCUUGCUCUUACGGGUGGCGAGUGGCGGACGGGUGAGGAAUACAUCGGAAUCUACUUUUUCGUGGGGGAUAACGUAGGGAAACUUACGCUAAUACCGCAUACGACCUACGGGUGAAAGCAGGGGAUCUUCGGACCUUGCGCGAUUGAAUGAGCCGAUGUCGGAUUAGCUAGUUGGCGGGGUAAAGACCCACCAAGGCGACGAUCCGUAGCUGGUCUGAGAGGAUGAUCAGCCACACUGGAACUGAGACACGGUCCAGACUCCUACGGGAGGCAGCAGUGGGGAAUAUUGGACAAUGGGCGCAAGCCUGAUCCAGUCAUACCGAGUGGGUGAAGAAGGCCUUCGGGUUGUAAAGCCCUUUUGUUGGGAAAGAAAAGCAGCAGGUUAAUACCCCGCUGUUCUGACGGUACCCAAAGAAUAAGCACCGGCUAACUUCGUG